GAGUUUGAUCUUGGCUCAGAAUCAACGCUGGCGGCGUGCCUCAGACAUGCAAGUCGAACGAUUAAAGCUCCCUUCGGGGCUCGAUGCUAGUGGCGCACGGGUGAGUAACACGUGGGAAUAUGCCCUUUAGUACGGAAUAACCCAGGGAAACUUGGGCUAAUACCGUAUACGCCCUUCGGGGAAGGAUUAUCGCUAAGGAUUAGCCGCGUCUGAUUAGGUAGUUGGUGAGGUAAUGGCUCACCAAGCCGACGAUCAGUAGCUGGUCUGAGAGGAUGAUCAGCCACACUGGGACUGAGACACGGCCCACGACUCCUACGGGAGGCAGCAGUGGGGAAUAUUGGACAAUGGGCGCAAGCCUGAUCCAGCCAUGCCGCGUGAGUGAUGAAGGCCCUAGGGUUGUAAAGCUCUUUUGUGCGGGAAGAUAAAUGACUGUACCGCAAGAAUAAAGCCCCGGCUAACUUCGUGCCAGCAGCCGCUGUAAU
rnacentral:rRNA from 1 species